rnacentral:misc_RNA from 1 species
UUUCCGUAGGUGAACCUGCGGAAGGAUCAUUAUUGGAUUUUGACACUUCAGGCUGCUGCUGGCUCUCCUCGGAGGGCAUGUGCACGCUUGUUGUCCAUUAUUUCUCCCACUGUGCACAAAUUGUAGACCUUUCAGUAGGCCUAUGUUGUUUUUCACAAUCUCUGAAUGUAAUAGAAUGGUUUUGAAUCUUGGGAAAUACAAUACAACUUUCAGCAACGGAUCUCUUGGCUCUC